UGGGGGCCGGUCAGGGGAAAGGCAUUGGGGGGCAGCCGCAAGGCAGCCUGCCAACACCGUCCCACCUCUCCUUAAGCCAGACCUCAAAAGGGCAGGGCUGCGGGGGAAACGGAGAGACAUUGGGUCUUUGAAUUGAUCAUGAAGUCCAGAGCUUAUGUUACUGUUCAUAAUGGAGGGGAAUAAACGACUGUCAUAGAAUACUGCUGGGGAGGCCAAAUGAAAAGGAACCCAGAUUCUAUGCAAAAAGAGAAGAUGAAAGAAACGGGAAGCCAGCCAAGAGCCAGGGGGAAGGGCAGAGUUUGCCGAAGCCAAACGGAAGCUGGACGCAUCAAGCAAUAGGAUCUUGGCUUCUGGACCAGUGAAUUUUAUGCCUGGGCUUCGCCGGGAGGAAAGAGCGUUUAGUUCAUCCAACACAGUGGAAGCCUCUAAGUGCUGGGGACAUGAGCGUGUGCCACCUUUCCUGGCUGUUGUGGAAUCUGCAUGAAGAGAACCUUGAGCAUUGUUGACAAGAGAGAGAGCCAUGGUUCUUUAGGGGACCAUAAUGACUGUAUCUCCAGAGAAGUAUAGAUGUUCACCUUGACAUCUAUUGGGCCCUCAGGAGGCACCGGUCUUCCAGAUUCUCUUGUACAGUCUUUCCGGCCAUCAGCCAUGCUCCCACCCAGACGACUGCCGUGAACAAGGCUGGUGGCACUGUUAGGGUGUCCUGACGACGUGCAGGUGUGUCACCAUGUUUGUUGUGUCUAAGAGAUCAGGGUCUGACUUCUGGGUUUUGUAAUCCUCUGCCCCAGCCCCAGUAACUCCCAGGCAUUUCCUAAGACAGACAAAAAUGCUUGUAAAUUAAUUAGCGUCACUGACACAGGUUUACCCCAAUGCAAAGAAACGACGUCGGUCUAAAGCUGGACUUUCAAAGCUGGGGAACGUGUGGGGAGAAACACUUUCCCUUUUGUUUGACAACAGAGGAAUCUUUUUGUCCUUUUUAUUACGUGUGUGUGUGUGUGUGUGUGUGUGUGUGUGUGUGUACACGUGUAUAUGCCACGGUGUUUAUGUGACUGUCAGAAAACAUCUUUAAGGAGUUAGAGCUCUCCUUCCACCAUGUGGGUCCUGGGGAUUGAACUCAGGUCGUUGGACUUGGUGGCAAGCGUCUUUACCCACUGAGCCUUCCCACUGGCCCCUCUGAGCUGAUGAGGCUAUUGGAAUAGAAGAAUAGAAGGUUCUAACUUUGUGGAGCACCUUCCCAUAAGGCUGUCUGUCUGAAGGUUUGCAGAUCCGACAUCUUUCUGAUUAGCUGAUAAAACAGGAAAGAAUUAGGGGCUGGAGAGAUGGCUCAACAGUUAGGAGCAUAUACUGCUCUUCCCGAGGACCUGAAUUCAAUUCCUGGUGCCUGAUGUGGGUUUCCCCUCUGUAUGCUGUGAAUAUGUUUUAUUAUUACCAUUGGUUAAUAAAGAAGAUGCUUUGAGCCUAUAGCAACACAGAAUAGAGCAAGGCGGGAAUUCCAAGCAGAGAUAGAGAAGAAAAGAAGGUGGAGUCAGGGAGACACCAUGUAGCUGCCAAAAGAGAAAGACACAAGCCAUCAUCCAGAGCCUUACCACCUCGUGGUGAUUCACAGAUGAAUAGAAAUGGGUUAAUUUAAGAUAUAAGAGUUACUUAAUAAAAAGCCUAAGCUAUUGGCCAAGCAAUGUUGUAACUAAUAUAGUUUCUGUGUGAUUAUUUUGGGUCUGGGCGACCAGGAAAUGAACAAGCAGCCUCCAUCUCCAAGCACCCAUCUCACAACUGCUUGUGACUCUAGCUGAGUGGGCGGUGGUGGCGCACGCCUUUAAACCC